rnacentral:lncRNA from 1 species
ACAAGGACUACCCUGGCCAAGAUUUUGCUAAAUUGAAAUACGACUGUAUACAACUCCUAAACUGGAGUGGUCAAUCCCAUCUUGACACAUGCACCGACAAGUCAAGUACUUGACUACACCCAGCAGCCUUCUGUCACUGAAUUAAAAAUUCAGGUAGUCCAGUACCUAAGUGCAGUGUGUUGCUUGCAAGUCACCGUGGCGGUCUC